UUGAUGGAGAGUUUGAUCCUGGCUCAGGACGAACGCUGGCGGCGUGCUUAACACAUGCAAGUCGAACGGACCUAGCCGGUGGUAACACCGACGAAAGUUAGUGGCGAACGGGUGCGUAACACGUGAGCAACCUACCCUAGAGACUGGGAUAACACCGGGAAACCGGUGCUAAUACCGGAUACCCCCAUACCAUCGCAUGAUGGAAUGAGGAAAUGUUUUUCGCUCUUGGAGGGGCUCGCGGCCUAUCAGCUUGUUGGUGAGGUAACGGCUCACCAAGGCUUCGACGGGUAGCUGGUCUGAGAGGACGACCAGCCACACUGGGACUGAGACAC
rnacentral:rRNA from 1 species